rnacentral:lncRNA from 1 species
AAGAUUUGUGCCUAUCUAUAAGAUGAGAGCCCUAAGGGGUUUAAACUCUACAUCUUUAUCCCUUAGGAUUUACAUUAAUUACCCUUGUAACUCUAAUUUUACCGGAGUGUUUCACUGGGCCACCAAGGCUUUAAGUAGAUGAGUUUCUCCAUAUGUUUCCAUGAAUUCGACGAGUUCAAAAGGAUCAAAUGAACCCAUUUAAUGUGUUGAACUCCAUGGGACAGUCUGUGCACAAUGGUCACGAACUUUGAUCUAUAGCCAAUGACACUAGAACCCUGAACAAAAUACUCUACAUUAGUCCCCCUCUCAACACAUACUCUUUCAAUGACGUUGAAUCCUUGUGGGAAAAGACGAUUGGCAAGACCCCUGAGAGUAUCUAUUUUUCUGAAGAACAAUUGCUUAAGAACAUUCAGGUCAGUCCUCAUACCAUGAAUUAAUUAAUUUUAAGGGUAAGGAAUUUGGGUGAUUUAACAUAGCUUAAUUGUCUCACAUUCUUGCAGAAGCUGUCAUUCCCCUGAAUGUGAUACUGUCAAUCGCACACUCGGUUUUUGUCAAAGUAGAUCACACAAACUUCAAAAUUGAAGCUUAAGAGCUAUACCCAGAUGUCAAAUAUACUACAGUUGAGCAGCACCAUCAUCAGUUUGUCUGAAUCAAAAUAAGUAGAUGACGCCAUUUUAGGUUUGCUAGUGGUAGUGAAUCCUGAUGUCAAUUGGUCCCUAUGAUAUGCGUAUUAGUAAAGAGCAAAGAGCUUAGUUUGCUGUUUCCUAUUGAAAUAAGAAUAGAAUAAUUUUGUGCAAAUAAAUGCC